AUGAACGCUAGCGGGAGGCUUAAUACAUGCAAGUUGAGGGGCAGCAUGAUAUACGCGAGUAUAUUGAUGGCGACCGGCGGACGGGUGAGUAAUAGGUAGGAGACCUACCUCAUACAGGGGGAUAGCAUAGAGAAAUCUGUGGUAAUACCCCAUGAGGUUAUAUGAAUAGAGGCAUAUAAUCAAAGCAUAAGCGAUUAUGCGGUAUGAGAGGGGCCUACUGACCAUUAGCUAGUUGGUGAGGUAAGGGCUCACCAAGGCGAAGAUGGUUAGGGGUUUUGAGAGAGAGACCCCCCACAUUGGAACUGAGAGACGGUCCAGACUCCUACGGGAGGCAGCAGUAGGGAAUAUUGGUCAAUGGGCGCAAGCCUGAACCAGCCAUCCCGCGUGCAGGAAGACGGCCCUAUGGGUUGUAAACUGCUUUUCCAGGGAGAGAAACUUACGCACGUGUUGCGUGACUGACGGUACCGCUAAAGGAAGCACCGGCUAACUCCGUG
rnacentral:rRNA from 1 species